GUUGUCAGUGAAGAUAAUCUAGCUACUACUGUUGCUUUAAAAUAGAGAUUGACAGCACAAAUAACAUUUGUUGCGAUAUAUUGUGCAUCACAUGGUCUCAUUUCCUGCACUGAUACAGGGGCCUUGAAGUUCGGUUUUUGCGUGGGUGGCUACUAGUGUAUUUAAUGCACUGCAUGAGCAAAUUUUACGAAUGAAAUCGGUUCAAUUAGGAAGAGCCAUGGAUCUUAUGUAUUGAUACAGGCAGGGCUGUUGCUGCAUAGCACAUUGAUGAAGAUACGCGAUCGCGUCGUCUGUUUCAAUGGAAUGGUCUCCCAAGCAGAACCGUAAGACACCAAAAUCAGCAAGGGAUCAUACCACGCAGUCCUUGUCAAGUCCCCUGUUCUGUGACAAUGCUCUGAGUCACCUUCCUGUUGCAACAUGUACAUCACAGACCACAGCCCCACUACUGGGGUGGUGACAAUCAUAGUGAUCCUCAUUGCUGUUGCUGCCCUCGGUGUUCUCAUCUGCGGAUGUUGGUGCUACCUGCUCCUGCAGCGGAUUGGCCAGUCUGAAGAUGAGGAGAGUAUUGUAGGAGAGGGCGAGACCAAGGAGCCCUUCCUGAUGGUACCGUACUCCACCAGGGGCCCACACAUCGAGCACAAAAACAAGCUCACCCACAACGGCACUGAGAAUCACACUUAACUGAGUCAUUAAGAAACCGUGGUCAUCACCUAAUAUUAACCAAGAGGAUCUCCUCAUUCACAUUUCAUCAUCUUUCAUCAAGCCAUUGAAGAAUGAUAAACGGACUGCAGCUCAAUGUCAAUGUCUUAGGAAAUGUGAUAUUUUUGUUUCUCAUUCCACUGUAUGGAUCUCAGUCAGGAUGUGAGGUUGUGAACAGUUCAUUGUUAUGUUUCUUAAGUGUACAUAUUUUGAACACAAAAAUGUACAUCUAAUUGAUAUUGAUAGUUUUUGUUAACUCAGCAAUCCACUACUGAAUUUUGACGAUAGACACAAGACAGCGCUCUGAUGAAAUGAGUGGGCCAAACCUUCUUCAGAGCUUGUUGGAAGAAUGUAUGGCAAAUUGAUGACAAAACAAUUGACUUAAUAUCAAGUUGCUCAAAUUAUUUGAAAUUAGCUUAAUUUGUUUGUUUAUUUUGCAUAGUUGAACUUGGUUUUGUUUUCUCCUGUGGUUGCACAGGUAACCACUCAACUAAAACCAGUCAUUGAAAGGGCAAUUCUCCUUUGAUAAACCAUCAUAUUUCACAAGCACAACAGGGUCUGAGUUUUAGUGAGGUCCGCACUCUAAAAUACUAUUUGGAGAACAGCAAAAAGUUGGCCAUGAUUGCUACACCUUUAGAUAGCUGGCUAGACUAAUUUAACAAUCUAAAAAAAUGUAAUUGAUAUGGGCUACUUGAGUGACAGUCAGUGAGGGACAUAUAAGAAGAGGGAAACUGCUGAUGCACAACCAAGUUCGAAAUUGCACCUUGUGUAUUCUACUAUUCCAACUCUCAACAGUAAGUUGAGACCCCUACUGUUCCUAAAAAAAAUGAUAGAUUAUUAUAUAUUUUUAUAAUGUUGGCAAGGUCCGUACCUCGGUGUCCUCAUAUGUAGCUACAACACAGUAGCUGCUGCAACUGACAUGGGUUGAGAAGUCCUACCAAGAAGCUACCAAGAGCCAAUUACAUAUUUUCUAUAUUCAGUUGCAACAUAGGAAAUCCUGAUGGAAAGAUUCUAUGGUAGCUGAGCAGGUUGAUAUUUGAUGAAACAAUGUUAUAAAGUAUUAUAAAAAUGUAAAUAACAUGAAGA